AUUCAUCAAUUCCAAUCAAUCUUCAUAUUUCUGAAUCCACGCCAAACAUUCUGUUCACCGUCAUGGCUGUCGCAUCGAGCUCAUGGAAGCAAGCAAUGGUGCAGAUCUCUCCGUACACAUUCUCCGCCAUUGGAAUUGCAAUCUCCAUCGGCGUUUCAGUGCUCGGUGCUGCCUGAGGAAUAUAUAUAACAGAAAGUAGUUUGAUUGGUGUUGCCAUCAAAGCGCCUCGCAUUACCUCGAAGAAUCUCAUCAGUUGCUAUAUAUGGAGUUAUUGUGGCAAUCAUUCUCCAGACAAAGCUUGAGAGUGUUCCUGCAUCCCAGAUCCAUACACCAGAGUCUGGCUAUGCAAUUUUUGCCUCUGUCGGGAUAAUUGUGGGCUUUGCCAAUCUUGUAUGCGGGCGAAAGCAGCUGCGCUUUUAUCUGAUGCACAAAACUCAACACUCUUCAUCAAGAUUCUCGUGAUAAGAGAUAUUUGGUAGAGCACUCGGGCUGUUUGGUGUCAUCGUGGCCGGGAAUUAUCAUGUUAGCACAGGCAGCUUGGCCAUCCAAGGCAUAGUGUAGUGAGCUCCCACCAUUUGCAUUUUUUGGUAUGUUAUCAAAUUC